rnacentral:lncRNA from 1 species
AUAGCAGUGUUAACUGGCUGUAUUUAUUUGUUUCUUCAGAACGUGACGAGGGAGGGUGGGUGGUUGAGCCUGGACCCAUCAGAAGGACAUUCCUGGGUCCUACUCUUCCUCUGGCUCCCCUCCGAUGGUUCCCCCACCUGCCUUGACUGUUAUUCUCACGGAUUCUUGCUUAAUACAUGUGUCCACUUUCCUAUAUUAGGAUGGAGUGUCUGCUGUGCUGGAGAAGAAGAGAGUGAAACGGAAGUGGAGUGUGUGUCAUCUCCUUUGUCCUCAGUUAUUGUCCCAGGCUGUGAGCAAUGGUAGAACAUCAUCGCAGUUCUGAGUAACUACGAGAUAGCCACUUGCCACUCCUCUUCCAAAAGAGGAGGUCAAAUGCAACUUGGAAUUCAGGAUCCUUACCCUGGCUGCAUACUGCAUGGCACAAAUGGAACACACCCCGCAAUUAGAA